rnacentral:lncRNA from 1 species
AGUAGCUGUGAGGCCAAAAGGAGGGCAGGAGCAGAUGACAGUGAGCGAGGCUGUGAUGACCCAUCCCACCAGCUGCUCUCUGCCCUCCUGUCAUUGACAAAGGUGACACCUGAGCCGACAUCUUAGGUGCCGAGGCCACAGAUCACUCCCAGGAGUUCGGAGCAGGCUGCACGGGAACAAUGAAGAAAGGCUUCCUUCCCAACAUGGUGACUGAGACCUGAUCCUAGAGGCCACCCACACAGUUCUCUGACCUCUAAAUGUGUCUUGAGUGGGCAGUGCCCCAACUGUCCCCGAAUUAACUAAUGGUAAGUUCAAGGCCUGUAGGUUUGAGGUUGAGGACCAAUCAUCUCCUUUAUCUGAGUGAUUUAACUGCCCUGUAACUCCAUGCAGGGCUAUGUGUUGUGUAGCAAUUUUCUCUAAGAUAAAAUCCAUUUCAGUGUCUCCUUAAGAUACUGGCUGUUCUGAACUUUACAAUCUAAGGGAAGGAGGAAACAAUCCAUUAUUCAGGGAGGCUCCUUAGGACACAGGACGUUCUAAGAGGUAGUGAAACAUCCCAUCCUUGAAGGAGGCUCCUUAAGAUACAAGAUAUUCUAGGGAGGAGAAAUAGUCUGUACUGCCAGGAAGCUCAUUCGGCCCAGGAAUUCCUAAAGUCCUUGAAACUGAUGGAAUUCACUAGGUCCCUCCCUCCCUGAGCAAAUAGAAGUAGUAAAGACUGUCUGCCUAGAGACACUCAGACAAGCUGACCAUCCCGGCUCAGGCUAGCUAGGCUGCCUGAAGCAAACAGACCUGCAAGGCCAACCAGAGUAGGCUGAGACAAGACAAGCCGCCUGGGAGAGGCUCACACCAAGUGAUUCUGCAGCUUGCUGAUCUGCCUGCAGGCAGAGUGUGCUCCAGGUUUCCAGACUUCAUCUUUGUCCCCCAUGCUGAGAAGGGCUUUGGUGAAGCCGCUGUCUUUGGGUCAUUUUUUUCUGUUCCUGUAAGGAACCCCAAUAAAACUCAUUGGUUCGCCAUGUUG